UAAACCUGAUGCAAUAAUUCAUUGAGACCUGAAGCAUGAUCCUGACGCAAUAAUUGAUUGAGACCUGAAGACUGAUUCUGUUAAGUCUUUCUAGCUGUUUCACGGUCUCAUGCUUUGUUUGUUUAUUGAUGACUGAAGUAAGCCUGUUCAAUGUCUGGAAAGCUUUUAAUUUCUGAGUGAAAUCGCAAACAUAUUAUGGGAUGAAUCUGGAUAUGUGAAAGUUGCAGAUCUGCCUACUUUAUACCAUGUUUUAGUUACUCCUGU
rnacentral:lncRNA from 1 species